AAAAGACUGUUCGUGAGAAUCGAACCCUGACCCUUAUCAUCCUGUCCCUGUGGACAGCCAGCCUGACCCAAUUCACUCUGGUGUUGACUGCUGCGAAGUCCAAAAAGACCCGGCCGGCACUGUUCCGUUCUGAGAGCGCGUCAUCCACAGCCUGUUCGAGGGGAGGCAAGGGCUGUUGUCCAACAGAGACUGACUUAAAGUCUCAAGGCCUACCCUGGUCACAAUGGGAACUGUCACCCGUUAGAAGCCCGUGCACUCAGCGUUUUGAGGAAACAGAAGAAGAAAGGAAGGA